GACGAACCGUACGAACGUUAUUCGGAAUUACUGGGCUUAAAGGGUGCGUAGGCGGCGCGGAAAGUUGGGUGUGAAAUCCCUCGGCUCAACCGAGGAACUGCGCCCAAAACUACCGUGCUUGAGGGAGAUAGAGGUGAGCGGAACUUAGGGUGGAGCGGUGAAAUGCGUUGAUAUCCUAAGGAACACCUGUGGCGAAAGCGGCUCACUGGGUCUCUACUGACGCUGAUGCACGAAAGCUAGGGUAGCGAA
rnacentral:rRNA from 1 species